rnacentral:rRNA from 1 species
UACGAAGGAUGCAAGCGUUAUCCGGAUUCAUUGGGUUUAAAGGGAGCGUAGGUGGCCUUAUAAGUCAGUGGUGAAAUCUCUCGGCUUAACCGAGAAAUUGCCAUUGAUACUGUAGGGCUUGAGUACAGAUGCCGUUGGCGGAAUAUGACAUGUAGUGGUGAAAUACAUAGAGAUGUCAUAGAACACCGAUUGCGAAGGCAGCUAACGAAACUGUAACUGACACUGAGGCUCGAAAGUGCGGGGAUCAAACAGGAUUAGAAACCCCCGUAGUCC